rnacentral:rRNA from 1 species
UACGUAGGUGGCAAGCGUUGUUCGGAAUUACUGGGCGUAAAGCGCGCGUAGGCGGCUCUUCAAGUCAGGCGUGAAAGCCCCGAGCUUAACUCGGGAACUGCGCUUGAUACUGUCGAGCUAGAGUGUGGAAGGGGCGAUUGGAAUUCCGUGUGUAGCGGUGGAAUGCGCAGAUAUCAGGAGGAACACCGAUAGCGAAGGCAGCUCGCUGGGACGGUACUGACGCUGAGGCGCGAAAGCGUGGGGAGCGAACAGG